rnacentral:rRNA from 1 species
UACAGAGGUCCCAAGCGUUGUUCGGAUUCACUGGGCGUAAAGGGUGCGUAGGCGGUGAGGUAAGUCGGAUGUGAAAUCUCGGAGCUCAACUCCGAAACUGCAUUGGAAACUACCUCGCUCGAGGGUUGGAGGGGGGACUGGAAUACUUGGUGUAGCAGUGAAAUGCGUAGAUAUCAAGUGGAACACCAGUGGCGAAGGCGAGUCCCUGGACAACUACUGACACUGAGGCACGAAAGCUAGGGGAGCAAACUGG